GACCCAACCGAAAGGAGGGAGCUGCCGAAGGUGGGACCGAUAACUGGGGUGAAGUCGUAACAAGGUAGCCGUAUCGGAAGGUGCGGCUGGAUCACCUCCUUUCUAAGGA
rnacentral:rRNA from 1 species